UUCCCCGCAGUGCGAUAAACCCCUCGUUGGGGCCGCCUUAGUUCUCGGCCGCUCUCGGAGGAUGGCGAUCUGGGAGCCCCUCCAUGGGACCCCUCUCACACUUUGUCACUGGAAUUUUAUUUAUUUUUUAGUUCAUAUUUUAUUUUGCUUAUAGAAGAGAAAGAUAUCCCUUCCGAAGAGGAGGAAGCUUACAGAAGUUUAUAACCUUUCAAAAAGUAAAUAAGUCCAGGCUUGCCUGAUUCUGCCCUACCCGGACUUCCUUAUCCCGUCUGUGGGAGACCCAGGUGCUUUCUCAUUACUCUUCAGAAGGAAACCGCUUUGGAGUUCGUGUAAUUGGGACUUGGGGAUCAGGGAGAAGUUGCCGAAACUUCUCAUACCAGUAACUACUGAAGUAGAAGAUUCUGGAAAAAUCCUUGUCUUGGGGGCACAGGCUAAAACCUGAAGGAUUUUUAAGAUGACCAAGGUUCCAGCCACCAAGAAGCUUCAGAGUUCCCCCAACUCGGGGGCUGUCCGGCCCUUUUAUGCCUCGGAGAACCUAAGGCAGGUCCCAGACAAGCCAAUGAAGAGCAUCAAGUAUAUGGACAAGGAAAUAAUAAACCUCAAAAAGGACCUUAUACGAAGCCGACACACGUGAUGAUACCGUGGAGUCAGAGUCGUUCUCAAAUUCUGGUCCUGUUACCUGCUAGCUGGGAUGCUGGAGGAGUUAUUUAAACUCUCUGGGACUCUUUUUCCCUAUCUGUAAAAUGAGAAUAAUAGGAGGUUGUUAGAAGAACCGAGGGAAAUAAAGCAGAUAAAGUGUCCC
rnacentral:lncRNA from 1 species